GAGCCCCCUCACCAUGUGAUGUCCCAAGCUGCCUUGGGACUCUGCAGAGGGUCCCCAUAAGAGGAAGGCCCCGACUAGAUGGAAUCCUUUGUCCCUGGACUUCUCAGCCUCCAGAACUGAUUCCCCAGGAUCAACCAUCUGAGCAGAUACCUUGGAAUGUCCCCAGAUUUCAGAGCCUCGGACCAGCAGCAACACACUCUGAAGUAGGUCUCAGAAGACAAAAAGCUGAAAUCAACUCAUGCUUCCUGCUACACAGAAUCCACUGAGAGGAAAAGGAAACUUCACCGAAACUUCAGAAAGCUACAGAAAUGACAUCCAUUUUCACAAUCCCAGAAGGAAAGAUGCAUCUGAAGGGAAUAAAAACAGAGCAAUGGAAGAGUAUUUGUUAAAAUAAAUGGCUUUGACAGGGCA
rnacentral:lncRNA from 1 species